UCCACUGUGGUCUAGUGGUUAAGACUCUGCACUUCCAAUGCAGGGGGCAUGGGUUUGAUCCCUGGUCAAGGAA
rnacentral:tRNA from 1 species